ACUCCGGUUUUGAUGGCACCGGCGAAGGGAACCCAGGCCAACCUGGAAGCCAGGAAUGGCCGAACACUCUAGGCCAGAUCUUUAUCUUGAUUGUAAAGACAAUGUUUCCUGAGCAGCUGGAGGU
ensembl:misc_RNA Gm55295 predicted gene, 27834